ensembl:lncRNA
CCCUCCUCAUCCUCCCCCCCCCCCCCCCGCCCACCCCUCCCGGCCCCAUUCCGACCCCGCGGCCAUAAAUCAGAGCUCAGUGGGACGCAGCCAUAUGGGAUCGGCGCGGAGCAACGCCGUCCUGAUGGGUUCCGGCGGCGGAGCGACGCUCCAUCAAAUCCAUGGAGGGGAUGCGAGGUGUCAAUCUUUUAUUCGGGGAGAUAAAGGGGGGGGGGUUCCCUCUGCAUGGGACCACCAGGGACACCCACGGGGGGGGGGUUCUGCAUUGUCCCAAUGGGAUCCCCCGCCUUCCCCAACACAGCCCCAUCCAUUGCCCCACUCCUUAAGGCAAAGAGACCCCAAUGAGAGCCCCCCCCCGUCCCAGAAAUGGAUGGGGAAGGGGGGGGACGGCCUAAAACGCACUUUUUUGGGGGCUGUUUUUUAUAUUGGGGGGGGGGGGAGGUUUGGUGUUUGGGUUAUGGAGAUGAGGGAAAUAAAGGGGGAAUGGGGGGGAGAGGAGGGGAUGAGAGGGAGGGAAAGGAAAUGGGGGGGGAGAGAAAAGGGAAGGGGGAGAAGGGAGAAAGGAGGGGGGGGAAGGGGAAGGAAGGGGGGGGGAAGGGGGGAAGGAAAAGGGGGAAGGAAAAGGGGGAAGGAAAAGGGAAGAAAAGGGGGAAGGAAAAGGGGGAAGGAAAGGGGGAAAAGAGAGGAAAAGAACCCAAAAGGUAAAGGAAAAGAGGAAGAAAAAGGAGAAGUGAAGCGGAAGAGUGAAAAUGAAGGGAAAAGAGAAAGAAAAAGAGAGGCUGAGGACGAUCUCACCUCGGCCGCAGCUCCGACGGCGCGGACGGACCCGGGGGGGGUCGGGGGGGGCUGUGGGGGUCCCGGAGGCUGCGCCGCCGUUCGGGGUCACGCCGGGGAGGGGGGGGGUUGGGGGGGGGGGGAUUCCGCUGUGGGUCCCAACAGCUUCGGAACGGAACCGCCGCGCACCUCCAACGCUCCGCACCCAAACCCACAGCGCUGCCCCCCCCCCCCCAAUUCUCCCCCCCCCCCCUCCACCCUCGGGGGGGUCCCGUCGAGGACGGCCAUUGGUCCGCGCCGCCCACGUGACCGCCCCCGGAUUCCGAUUUCUCCCUCUUUUUCUUUUCUUUUGGCCUUUUCUGCCUUUUUUUUUUGCUGGACGGAUCCCCCCCCCCCCCAUGGACCUCUCCCCCCCCCCCGGGGGGGGCGCACGAGAAGUUUGAGAGGAGCGGCUGCAGAGAGCAAUUCCCAUCCGCGGGAGGAAGGAGAGGCCGAGAGAGGGGGAAGAUUGAAUUGAAGCCCCGGGGCCAUUAACCCGCUGCCCUGGCCCAACUCCAGCUGCAGUAAUUACAUUCGCCCUGAUUAAAAAUUUCCCCUUCGUUUUCAAUUAGCUCCGCCGUCCUUCUUCGCUUCCCUCCUCCCCAACCACAGCGCUGUGCGGCUCCGCAGUGCGGCUGCUCUGCAAAGGGGAAACUGAGGCACGGGGGGCUGUGGGGAGGGGGCGUUGUGGCACCUGUGGGGCACAGUGGGGCACUGCAUGGGGGGCGAUCAUAGCGCCUAUGGGGUAUUGCUCUACACUGGGGCUCCUAUGGGGCAUCACAUGGGGGUGUUGAUGGUGCCUAUGGGGCACCUAUGGGGUAUUGCACUACACUGGGGCUCCUAUGGGGCAUCGCAUGGGGGUGUCCAUGGCAUCUAUGGGGCACCUAUGGGGUAUUGCAUGGAGGUGUUCUAGCGCCUAUGGGGCAUCUAUGGGGUAUUGCACUACAGUGGGGCUCCUAUGGGGCAUCGCAUGGGGGUGUCCAUGGCAUCUAUGGGGCACCUAUGGGGUAUUGCACUACAGUGGGGCUCCUAUGGGGCAUCGCAUGGGGGUGUUGAUGGCGCCUAUGGGGCACAAACAAGAAGGGAGAAACCACAUUCUCCCACCCUGACAAAGCAAUGAGGAUAACGACCCCAGAAAGGCAUUUUUUUGCCCCAAAAGCACCCAUGUGAAGGCGCAGUGCUGGCAGCAAUGUGGGGGGGUGGAUCUUCUCUCACCCCAUCUGUCCGUCUGUCCGUCCCGCUGUCUCCCCUGUGUUUAUCUCUCCUAUCUCCCAGCUGAUCUCACUCCACCUCUGUUCCCCACACUGUUUAUUUUGCUGCCCAUUGCAGUGUCUGUUUGCUCUGCUGCCCUUCAGCCUUUCUGCUCCUCUGCCUCUCUCCACUCAAUGGUUUCCAUUUGAUGGCUGAAAGGAGAAAACCCACUCAGCCCUUCCCUUCCCUUCCCUUCCCUUCCCUUCCCUUCCCUUCCCUUCCCUUCCCUUCCCUUCCCUUCCCUUCCCUUCCCUUCCCUUCCCUUCCCUUCCCUUCCCUUCCCUUCCCUUCCCUU